rnacentral:tRNA from 1 species
GGCGGCGGUUCCCGACGGCACCUGGGCCACGACCUCACCGGUCGCCGGGUUGACGACGUCGAUCAGGUCAGCUGUUCCGGCGACGGCUUCGCCGCCG